GGAGCAGGGUGCGUCCAAGGAACAGUACCCCGACAGUGCACGGGACGAUUUCGAGAGAGGAUCAGUUGACUCCUUUCUUCUAGCACUGACGCCACUGGGCACUUUGACAGAGAUUAAAGUCAACUGCAGUGAGCAAAACGCCUGGUUCCUGGACAAGAUUGUGGUAAAUAAGGCGAAUUUGCUGGAGACCUAUACUUUCCAUCAUAACAACUGGCUAAAUGGCACCGUUCGAAUCUUUCCAAGUUCUGAGUAACAGUGCAUGAUUGCCAUGAUGACGAGACCAGCAUGCAGAUCGGUCAUGCUCAGUUUGGGAAACUGAUAUUUGUCAAAUACUGUUACAAAUACAAUGCACUGGUCCAGAA